CUACGGGCGGCUGCAGUGGGGAAUAUUGGACAAUGGGCGCAAGCCUGAUCCAGCCAUGCCGCGUGAGCGAUGAAGGCCUUAGGGUUGUAAAGCUCUUUUGUCCGGGACGAUAAUGACGGUACCGGAAGAAUAAGCCCCGGCUAACUUCGUGCCAGCAGCCGCGGUAAUACGAAGGGGGCUAGCGUUGCUCGGAAUCACUGGGCGUAAAGGGCGCGUAGGCGGCCGAUUAAGUCGGGGGUGAAAGCCUGUGGCUCAACCACAGAAUUGCCUUCGAUACUGGUUGGCUUGAGACCGGAAGAGGACAGCGGAACUGCGAGUGUAGAGGUGAAAUUCGUAGAUAUUCGCAAGAACACCAGUGGCGAAGGCGGCUGUCUGGUCCGGUUCUGACGCUGAGGCGCGAAAGCGUGGGAAGCAAACAGGAUUAGAUACCCGCGUAGUC
rnacentral:rRNA from 1 species